GUGCACCAGGCGCGAAAACUUUACAAUGUGCGAAAGCACGAUAAGGGAACUCUGAGUGCCUCCUAAGGAGGCUGUUCAGGUGUCUAAAAAGCACCUGGAGUAAGGGCUGGGUAAGACCGGUGCCAGCCGCCGCGGUAACACCGGCAGCCCAGGUGGUAGCCACUUUUAUUGGGUCUAAAGCGUCCGUAGCCGGUUGAGUAAGUUCCUUGGGAAAUUUGGCUGCUCAACAGUCAAGCCUCCAGGGAAUACUGCUCGACUUGGGACUGGGAGAGGUCAGAGGUACUCCGAGGGGUAGGGUGAAAUCCGAAUUAAUCCCUGGGGGACCACCGGUAGCGAAGGCGUCUGACCAGACCAGGUCCGACGGUGAGGGACGAAGGCUA
rnacentral:rRNA from 1 species